rnacentral:rRNA from 1 species
AUUGAACGCUGGCGGCAGGCCUAACACAUGCAAGUCGAACGGUAACAGGAAGAAGCUUGCUUCUUUGCUGACGAGUGGCGGACGGGUGAGUAAUGUCUGGGAAACUGCCUGAUGGAGGGGGAUAACUACUGGAAACGGUAGCUAAUACCGCAUAACGUCGCAAGACCAAAGAGGGGGACCUUCGGGCCUCUUGCCAUCGGAUGUGCCCAGAUGGGAUUAGCUAGUAGGUGGGGUAACGGCUCACCUAGGCGACGAUCCCUAGCUGCUCUGAGAGGAUGACCAGCCACACUGGAACUGAGACACGGUCCAGACUCCUACGGGAGGCAGCAGUGGGGAAUAUUGCACAAUGGGCGCAAGCCUGAUGCAGCCAUGCCGCGUGUAUGAAGAAGGCCUUCGGGUUGUAAAGUACUUUCAGCGGGGAGGAAGGGAGUAAAGUUAAUACCUUUGCUCAUUGACGUUACCCGCAGAAGAAGCACCGGCUAACUCCGUG